rnacentral:ncRNA from 1 species
UUUGAGGUGGCAUCAGUCACCAAGAAUGAAAAGGGAACAUCGGUGUAAAUCCGAGACUAUACCCGUAGCUGUGAGUUUCAUUAUGCUCCGUGCUUUCUUAAUGGUCACUGCCCGCAGGGUGGGAAGGCCGCAUGGAGGAAACAAGUCAGAAGACCUGCCUUUAUCUGU